rnacentral:ribozyme from 1 species
AGAGGUUGCAAGUUUGUGGCCAUAGUAGAAGUGUUCAUGGCUUGUCCUGUCAGAUUCCAAUGAAUCUACAAAUUCUGCU